ensembl:lincRNA
CAAUUAUUUAUUAAAUGGGUGAUUUGGAAGCAAAGAGAAGUGUGGUAAAUUGUGCUUUGCUGUGAGAUGAGCUGGAGAUCAACAAUACCAGGGAUGAUUUAAAAAAAAAAAAAACGGUGGGUGUUUAAAUUAAAUCACUACAGUAAAAAACAUGCUGUCAUUAAUCCUACUCAAAAUCCUCCCCCUCCCUUUGAAAGCACUCAUCUGCAGCAGCUCUGGAGCCCUCUUUUGAGUAGGGUUAUGAGGUGUGAUCUAAAAUAAGAUGAAUGCUCCUACCGACUGUCAUCCAAGGGAAAGGGAGGCUCGUAAAGACAUCACGCUGUGUCCUCAUCCACCUUAUUCACUGGAUCUGGUGCUUCGUGACUUCUGGCUUCUCCCGAAAUCAAAAUGACCAUGAAAGGUCAACGCUGUGCUUUAAUUCAGGGCAUUGAGGCAGCCGCAACAGCACAACUAAAGACACUCAGGAAAGAGGAAUUCCAGAGCUGUUUCAGAAAGUGGUAAGAACCAUGGGUUGAGUGUAUUUAAAGCGAGGGGGAGGUUCAUGAGGGGCAUUCGUGGCAAUGUUUCACUGUAAUAAAUUUUUAAAAAAUUUAAACAUUCAGUGUAUUUUGCGGAUUACACCUAGUAAAUAAAUCUCGGUAUUUUAGAUGCCAGGAUUCACACUCCCUAAUACCAGGGAAGUCCAAGUCUUCUCUGCUAUGGGUCUGAAGAGGCAAAAACAAAAACAAGGUCCUUGUGGCUUUCCACGCACAAAACAGGGGUCUCUCUGACACCUGCGAGGUGCCCUUUGCUACUCACUCUACUUCGCCAAUUCUAGCACCGUGGUCAACUGCCUCUGAAGGUGCAAUCUGGGUGUAGGGACCCGAAAGAAAAGAGGCCGGGAAAGUCUGCGGGAGCACAGCCGCGGGCCGAGGGCGCAGAGCGGGACAGGGUCGGGCCAGCCACAUCUGAUCCGGGUCGCCCAAACUUUCGGAUCCCAGCCUCCUCGGCAAUCUCGGGGUGGGGGGGGCCAGACCAGGCUGCGCAGGCGCAACUGUCCCCGCCGCGCCCCCUCGCGGGCUGGGGAAGGCGUUGGGCGCUGGUGGAGGGCGGGCCCGGCACACAAAGCCCUUCCCCCCCGGCUCCCCGCCCUCCUCCUCCCGCUCCGCCCGCUCCGCCCUCCCGGGAGCCCAGCGCCGCGUUCCUCGGGCUGCCGGUCGCGCCCGCCUCCGGGACCUGCGGGGCGCGCGCGAGGUGAGGAGACAUCUGCCUGGGGUUGAGUGAAGGGGUCGCUGGGCUCUGACUUGCUUCUGAACAGCCCCCGGUGAGCCAGGUAGUGCGACCUGGAGGACCAGGCUGUGCUAGGAGACAGUUUUACUAAGGAAUGACAAGGAUCCCAGUGGUCAGAUAUGCCAGGGGAAUGCUCCUGGUAAGCUGGGUUUCUCCAGCAGGACUUUUCAGAGCCUUUAAUAGGAUGUGCGCUGGAACUCUGGGAUGACACCACAGUGCGCAGUGUUUGCCAGUUUCCUUUGGCCACAGCACAGUCUUUUUCACGAAGCUUCUUCUGGAUCCAGCGUUCCAAGGAGUCCACUUGAGGAAACUGCUUACCUCACCCAGAAGCUGGAGCCAGCAAGGUCGGUUCCAAGGAAUGUGGAUCCCAGAGGGCGAGGUGCUCAGAGUAUGGAAAUGUAGGUUCUGGACGUUAGGCAGUCAUGGUAACCCCCCCUUAUAAAUUUAUGCAUUUAUUUGC